UUGCAGGGUAUAGACCCGAAACCCGGUGAUCUAGCCAUGGGCAGGUUGAAGGUUGGGUAACACUAACUGGAGGACCGAACCGACUAAUGUUGAAAAAUUAGCGGAUGACUUGUGGCUGGGGGUGAAAGGCCAAUCAAACCGGGAGAUAGCUGGUUCUCCCCGAAAGCUAUUUAGGUAGCGCCUCGUGAAUUCAUCUCCGGGGGUAGAGCACUGUUUCGGCAAGGGGGUCAUCCCGACUUACCAACCCGAUGCAAACUGCGAAUACCGGAGAAUGUUAUCACGGGAGACACACGGCGGGUGCUAACGUCCGUCGUGAAGAGGGAAACAACCCAGACCGCCAGCUAAGGUCCCAAAGUCAUGGUUAAGUGGGAAACGAUGUGGGAAGGCCCAGACAGCCAGGAUGUUGGCUUAGAAGCAGCCAUCAUUUAAAGAAAGCGUAAUAGCUCACUGGUCGAGUCGGCCUGCGCGGAAGAUGUAACGGGGCUAAACCAUGCACCGAAGCUGCGGCAGCGACACUGUGUGUUGUUGGGUAGGGGAGCGUUCUGUAAGCCUGUGAAGGUGUGCUGUGAGGCAUGCUGGAGGUAUCAGAAGUGCGAAUGCUGACAUAAGUAACGAUAAAGCGGGUGAAAAGCCCGCUCGCCGGAAGACCAAGGGUUCCUGUCCAACGUUAAUCGGGGCAGGGUGAGUCGACCCCUAAGGCGAGGCCGAAAGGCGUAGUCGAUGGGAAACAGGUUAAUAUUCCUGUACUUGGUGUUACUGCGAAGGGGGGACGGAGAAGGCUAUGUUGGCCGGGCGACGGUUGUCCCGGUUUAAGCGUGUAGGCUGGUUUUCCAGGCAAAUCCGGAAAAUCAAGGCUGAGGCGUGAUGACGAGGCACUACGGUGCUGAAGCAACAAAUGCCCUGCUUCCAGGAAAAGCCUCUAAGCAUCAGGUAACAUCAAAUCGUACCCCAAACCGACACAGGUGGUCAGGUAGAGAAUACCAAGGCGCUUGAGAGAACUCGGGUGAAGGAACUAGGCAAAAUGGUGCCGUAACUUCGGGAGAAGGCACGCUGAUAUGUAGGUGAAGUCCCUCGCGGAUGGAGCUGAAAUCAGUCGAAGAUACCAGCUGGCUGCAACUGUUUAUUAAAAACACAGCACUGUGCAAACACGAAAGUGGACGUAUACGGUGUGACGCCUGCCCGGUGCCGGAAGGUUAAUUGAUGGGGUCAGCGCAAGCGAAGCUCUUGAUCGAAGCCCCGGUAAACGGCGGCCGUAACUAUAACGGUCCUAAGGUAGCGAAAUUCCUUGUCGGGUAAGUUCCGACCUGCACGAAUGGCGUAAUGAUGGCCAGGCUGUCUCCACCCGAGACUCAGUGAAAUUGAACUCGCUGUGAAGAUGCAGUGUACCCGCGGCAAGACGGAAAGACCCCGUGAACCUUUACUAUAGCUUGACACUGAACAUUGAGCCUUGAUGUGUAGGAUAGGUGGGAGGCUUUGAAGUGUGGACGCCAGUCUGCAUGGAGCCGACCUUGAAAUACCACCCUUUAAUGUUUGAUGUUCUAAC
rnacentral:rRNA from 1 species